UGAGGAACAUGACCUUCGGCGGGGGAUAGCCGGCCCAACGGCCGGGUAAUACCGCGUACGACCACUUUGGGACAUCCCUAGGUGGUGAAAGCAGCAAUGCGCCGAUGGAGUGCCUCGCGGCCUAUCAGCUAGUUGGUGAGGUAACGGCUCACCAAGGCAACGACGGGUAGCUGGUCUGAGAGGAUGGCCAGCCACAUUGGGACUGAGACACGGCCCAGACUCCUACGGGAGCAG
rnacentral:rRNA from 1 species